UACGGGAGGCAGCAGUGGGGAAUAUUGCACAAUGGGCGAAAGCCUGAUGCAGCUAUGCCGCGUGUAUGAAGAAGGCCUUAGGGUUGUAAAGUACUUUCAUCGGGGAGGAAAAACAAAACUAAUAAUUUUAUUUCUUGACGUUACCCGAAAAAGAAGCACCGGCUAACUCCGUGCCAGCAGCCGCGGUAAUACGGAGGGUGCUAGCGUUAAUCAGAAUUACUGGGCGUAAAGAGCACGUAGGUGGUUUUUUUAAAGUCAGAUGUGAAAUCCCUGGGCUUAACCUAGGAACUGCAUUUUGAAACUGAAAUACUAGAGUAUCGUAGAGGGAGGUAGAAUUCUAGGUGUAGCGGUGAAAUGCGUAGAUAUCUGGAGGAAUACCUGUGGCGAAAGCGGCCUCCUAAACGAAUACUGACACUGAGGUGCGAAAGCGCGGGGAGCAAACAGGGAUUAGAUACC
rnacentral:rRNA from 1 species